rnacentral:rRNA from 1 species
GAAACUCGGGCUAAUACCGCAUACGCCCUACGGGGGAAAGAGGGGGACCUUCGGGCCUCUCGCUAUUGGAUGAGCUUGCGUUGGAUUAGCUUGUUGAUGAGGUAAUGGCUCACCAAGGCGACGAUCCAUAGCUGGUCUGAGAGGACGACCAGCCACACUGGGACUGAGACACGGCUCAGACUCCUACGGGAGGCAGCAGUGGGGAAUAUUGCACAAUGGGGGAAACCCUGAUGCAGCAAUGCCGCGUGUGUGAAGAAGGCCUGCGGGUUGUAAAGCACUUUCAAUUGGGAAGAAAAGUGGAGGGCUAAUACCCCUUUAUCUUGACGUUACCUUUAGAAGAAGCACCGGCUAACUCCGUGCCAGCAGCCGCGGUAAUACGGAGGGUGCAAGCGUUAAUCGGAAUUACUGGGCGUAAAGGGUGCGUAGGUGGCCCGGUCAGUCAGAUGUGAAAGCCCUGGGCUUAACCUGGGAACUGCAUUUGAUACUGCCGGGCUAGAGUAUGGUAGAGGGAAGUGGAAUUCCGGGUGUAGCGGUGAAAUGCGUAGAUAUCCGGAGGAACACCAGUGGCGAAGGCGACUUCCUGGA